rnacentral:lncRNA from 13 species
GUUAUGGUGUAACGUGAUGAAAGGUAGGACGAUGUCUCUGUACACUUUCUGGAUGUUGGUGAGGUCAGUGUCCACCGCCUCUGGGAUCCCAGUCCACUUCGAGAGUCUAUCACUCUCAUCCUUUGACCUACAAACCACAUCCACAAAAUACAACACAGCUAAAAUACCAGCAACUGGAAUCACAGAGCGAUCAGAGUAUUUGGGCCUCCCUCAUCUAUGUCCUACCAGCAUGCCAUACUCUGCUACUGUGUCCUCCUUGCUGAUGUGAACACAAAUGAAUAAGCAUGAACACCGAAUGCACAGAAGUCAGCUGAGAUUCACCCCCAAUACACCUAGGUCUGUGAAGUGGAGGGCUUUUUACUUAUUGUGGACAAUGUCUUUAUACUUUUUCUGGAUAUUAUGAAUGUGAUUCCUUGCUGUUUCGUUUCCGCCUUUCACACCACUGCAGAAAGCUUUGGAGAGGGUCGCUGCCCUCUGUCUUCAGGAAACAAGGAUCAUCAGACCCCCACAACAACCAACAAUGCAGGCUGGUUAGACAAACAUCGUUACAGAACUACCCACCACCAAAAAAGGACCAAGCAGCGUGGUAACCAGGAGCAGAGGGUUCUGGACUUGGGAGGAGAUACUGGAAGGCAAGGGACCCAGGACACAGGCUGGGGAAUAUCGCCGCCCCAAGGAAGAUCUGGAGGCAGCGAGAGGUAAGGCAGCGCAACAGGCACGAGAGGCAGCCCCAAACAUUUUUUUUGGGGGGGGGGCACACGGGGAGAUUGGCGGAGUCAGGCGAUAGACCUUACCGGAAGAAGCAUGCCCACUGGAAGAAGCGCAGUACUGGUCAGGCACGGUGUCGCCAGUACGCGCUCAUAGCCCGGUGCGCUAUAGGCCAGCCCCCCACAAGUGCCAUGCGAGAGUGGGCAUCCAGCCAGGGCAUAUUGUGCCGGCUCAGCGUGUUUGGUCUCCGGUACGCCGUUUCAGCCCAGGGUAUCCUGCGCCGGCUCUGCGUGCUGUGUCUCCGUGCAGGGAGAAUGUGGGCAUUGAGCCUAAGGGAGAGGUGUGAGUGGUAUGCACCUGAUCUCCAGUGCUCACCCACAGCCCGGUUCAACCUGUGCCUGCACUCUGGAGGGUCCGGGCUAAAGGGGUCAUCCAGUCUGGAGGAGUGGUGCCAAGGCUGCGCACCAGAGCUCUAGUGCUCCCCCACAGCCCGGUCUAUCCGGUGCCUCCUCCACCGCACCAGGCCUCCUGUAGGUCUCCCCAGCCUGGUGGGUCCUGUGGGUCCCCACGCAAUAGGCUGUCUCUCCAUCUCCUCCCUCCAGGUUCUCCCUCCUGUCAGGAGCUGCCAGAGUCUCCCUCCUGUCAGGAGCUGCCAGAGUCUCCCUCCUGUCAGGAGCUGCCAGAGUCUCCCUCCUGUCAGGAGCUGCCAGAGUCUCCCUCCUGUCAGGAGCUGCCAGAGUCUCCCUCCUGUCAGGAGCUGCCAGAGUCUCCCUCCUGUCAGGAGCUGCCAGAGUCUCCCUCCUGUCAGGAGCUGCCAGAGUCUCCCUCCUGUCAGGAGCUGCCAGAGUCUCCCUCCUGUCAGGAGCUGCCAGAG